CCUACGGGAGGCAGCAGUGAGGAAUAGUGGUCAAUGGGCGCGAGCCUGAACCAGCCAAGUAGCGUGAAGGAUGACUGCCCUACGGGUUGUAAACUUCGGUUAUAAAGGAAUAAAGUGAGGCACGUGUGCAUUUGUGUAUGUACUUUAUGAAUAAGGAUCGGCUAACUCCGUGCCAGCAGCCGCGGUAAUACGGAGGAUCCGAGCGUUAUCCGGAUUUAUUGGGGUUAAAGGGAGCGUAGAUGGGUUGUUAAGUCAGUUGUGAAAGUUUGCGGCUCAACCGGAAAAUUGCCAUUGAUACUGGCAGUCUUGCGUACAGUUGAGGUAGGCGGACUUC
rnacentral:rRNA from 1 species